rnacentral:rRNA from 1 species
CCCCUAGAUGUUCUGGGCCGCACGCGCGCUACACUGAACAGUUCAACAAGUCUUAACCUUGGCCGAUAGGUCUGGGUAAUCUUUGAACGCUGUUCGUGAUUGGGAUAGACCUUUGCAAUUAUGGGUCUUCAACGAGGAAUUCCUAGUAAACGCAAGUCAUCAGCUUGCAUUGAUUACGUCCCUGCCCUUUGUACACACCGCCCGUCGCACCUACCGAUUGAAUGGUCCGGUGAAAUCUCGGGACGGCGGCUUGGUCGCUUGCGUCCGACUGCUGAAACUUGAUUAAACCAUAUCAUUUAGAGGAAAGUGAAGUCGUANCA